rnacentral:rRNA from 1 species
UACGUAGGUGACAAGCGUUGUCCGGAUUUACUGGGCGUAAAGAGCGCGCAGGCGGUCGUUCAAGUCGAGUGUGAAAGCCCCCGGCUCAACUGGGGAGGGUCACUCGAUACUGAUCGACUCGAAGGCAGGAGAGGGAAGUGGAAUUCCCGGUGUAGUGGUGAAAUGCGUAGAUAUCGGGAGGAACACCAGUGGCGAAGGCGACUUCCUGGCCUGUUCUUGACGCUGAGGCGCGAAAGCUAGGGGA